rnacentral:rRNA from 1 species
AUUGAACGCUGGCGGCAUGCCUUACACAUGCAAGUCGAACGGCAGCACGGGUGCUUGCACCUGGUGGCGAGUGGCGAACGGGUGAGUAAUACAUCGGAACAUGUCCUGUAGUGGGGGAUAGCCCGGCGAAAGCCGGAUUAAUACCGCAUACGAUCUACGGAUUAAAGCGGGGGACCUUCGGGCCUCGCGCUAUAGGGUUGGCCGAUGGCUGAUUAGCUAGUUGGUGGGGUAAAGGCCUACCAAGGCGACGAUCAGUAGCUGGUCUGAGAGGACGACCAGCCACACUGGGACUGAGACACGGCCCAGACUCCUACGGGAGGCAGCAGUGGGGAAUUUUGGACAAUGGGCGAAAGCCUGAUCCAGCAAUGCCGCGUGUGUGAAGAAGGCCUUCGGGUUGUAAAGCACUUUUGUCCGGAAAGAAAUCCUUGGCCCUAAUACGGUCGGGGGAUGACGGUACCGGAAGAAUAAGCACCGGCUAACUACGU